ACUCACAGCUACAAGACGAAAGAGUCACUUGUCUGAGCGGUCAUUGCAGGUUCGACGCUUCACUACUACUCUUCGAAGGCUAUUGACUGCUACAGCUUGUACACGUAAAAGUGUCAGUCGAAAUGAACAUAUGAUCGCAGUUGCUACACUGUCUUUUGCACAGUGUCGCUAUUGCUCUCGCAGAAGAGUGAAUCUGGAGCAUACAGCAGCUUAGGAGCGCGACUGUUUAAUUACAAGUCCAAAUUCGACUUCCGAAAUAUCGUGGCCAGCAAGUACGCGGCUGCUUGGAAACGUGGCAGGUACACAUGUGCUAUCAAUCCAUAGAUCCCGUAUAUAUCUUAUGCGAAGUACGUGGCAUGGACUCAAAUAUGGAACACGGUCUAAUGCUUUUAGUUAGCAAAGAAUGAAGGACUCUACACUAGAAUACGUCGUAAUAAUUAAUGUAAUAGCAUAUUCAUGGCCGUAGCAGCCGCUUUGUCAGUCUCGAUCAUUGAUUCAGACUUUCUCGGAGACGAUCUGGCAAUUAGGCCAACGAAGUUUCUGGAUCAAGGGACAGUGUUGCACACACCAGCAUUCGAAGCUGGAAUUGUGGCCGAGAACUUUUUAGUGCAGCCACUAGACGUGGUUGUUGGACAUGCCUGUACGGUCACAAAUGCCGGACAAUGUGUACAGUGUUCAGGAAGACAUGGAUGACAGUCGAUGUAGGUUUCUGCAUAUGUGACAUCCAAGAAGUGAUGAUUGCUUAUCAUGUGAUAUCUAGAAUCCGCUAAUGUGGGAAAUAGUUGAGCAAAUAUAUGUACGUAAGAAUUAAUUCAAGUAGUUGGAAAAGCACAGUAUCAAGUAUGCAACCAACUGAUAAAAGAGUAA